UACGUAGGGGGCAGGCGUUGUCCGGAAUUAUUGGGCGUAAAGGGCGCGUAGGCGGAUAAUUAAGUGGGAUGUGAAAGCCCCGGGCUCAACCUGGGAAUGGCAUUCCAAACUGGUUAUCUAGAGUAUAGUAGAGGUGAGUGGAAUUUCUGGUGUAGCAGUGAAAUGCGUAGAGAUCAGAAGGAACACCAGUGGCGAAGGCGGCUCACUGGACUAAUACUGACGCUGAGGCGCGAAGGCGUGGGGAGCAAACAGG
rnacentral:rRNA from 1 species